rnacentral:rRNA from 1 species
UACGAAGGGGACUAGCGUUGCUCGGAAUCACUGGGCGUAAAGCGUGCGCAGGCGGUUUUAUAAGCCAGAUGUGAAAUCCCCGGGCUUAACCUGGGAAUGGCAUUUGGGACUGCAAGGCUUGAGUGCGGCAGAGGAGACUGGAAUUCCUGGUGUAGCAGUGAAAUGCGUAGAUAUCAGGAGGAACACCGAUGGCGAAGGCAGGUCUCUGGGCUGACACUGACGCUCAUGCACGAAAGCGUGGGGAGCAAACAGG